rnacentral:rRNA from 1 species
GUUUGAUUCUGGCUCCAGAUUGAACGCUGGCAGGAUGCUUUUUACACAUGCAGAAGUCGAACGGCGGCACGGACUUCGGUCUGGUGGCGAUGGCGAACGGGUGAGUAAUGUAUCGGAACGUGCCUAGUAGCGGGGAUAACUACGCGUAGUAGCUAAUACCGCAUACGCCCUUCGAAGCGGGGAUUCGGGCCUCAUAUUAGAGCGGCCGAUAUCGGAUUAGCUAGUUGGUGGGGGUAACAGCUCACCAAGGCGACGAUCCGUAACUGGUUUGAGAGGACGACCAGCCACACUGGGACACGAGACCUGGCCCAGACUCUACGGGCAACGGUGGGGGUACGGACAAUGGAAACCUGAUCAAGGCAUCCGCAUUAGCCGAUGAAGGCCUUCCAGGUUGCUCAACACUUUGGCAGGAAAAACGGCACGAGAUAAUACCCGAUACGCUGACUGACCACCUGCAGAAUAAGCACCGGCUAACUACGUGCCAGCAGCAGUAAUACGUAAGUGCAAGCGUUAAUCGGAAUUACUGGGCGUAAAGCGUGCGCAGGCGGUUCGGAAAGAAGAUGUGAAAUCCCGGAAGCAACUUUGGAACUGCAUUUUUAACUACCGAGCUAGAGUGUGUCGAGGGAGGUGGAAUUCACGCGUCAUAGCAGUGAAAUGCGUAGAUAUGCGGAGGAACACCGAUGGCGAAGAGAGCAGCCUCCUGGAAUACUGCUGGCGCUCAUGCACGAAAGCGUGGGGGCAAACAGGAUUAGAUACCCUGGUAGUCCACGCCCUAAACGAUGUCAACUAGCUGUUGGGGCCUUCGGGCUUGAUGUAGCGCAACUAACGUGAAGUUGACCGCCUGGGGAGUACGGUCGCAAGAUUAAAACUCAAGGAAUUCAGCGGGGACCCGCACAAGCGGUGGAUGAUGUGGAUUAAUUCGAUGCAACGCGAAAAACCUUACCUACCCUUGACAUGUCUGGAAUCCCGAAGAGAUUUGAAGUGCUCGCAAGAGAACCGGAACACAGGUGCUGCAUGGCUGUCGUCAGCUCGUGUCGUGAGAUGUUGAGUUAAGUCCCGCAACGAGCGCAACCCUUGUCAUUAGUUGCUACGAAAGGGCACUCUAAUGCAGACUACCGGUGACAAACCGGAGGAAGGUGGGGAUGACGUCAAGUCCUCAUGGCCCUUAUGGGUAGGGCUUCACACGUCGCCUGACUGGUCGGGACAGAGGGUCGCCAGCCCGCGGGGAGCCAAUCCCCGGAAACCCGAUCGUAAUCCGAUCCGCAGUCUACGCUCGACUGCGUGGCGUCAGAAUCGCUAGUAAUCGCGGAUCAACAUGUCGCGGUGAAUACGUUCCCGGGUCUUGUACACCGCCGUCACACCAUGGGAGUGGUUUACCAGAAGUAGUUAGCCUAACCGUAAGGAGGCGAUUACGACGGUUAUGACUGGGAGUGAAAGUCGUAACAAGGUAGC